GGGCCUGUAGCUCAGGCGGUUAGAGCGCAUCCCUGAUAAGGAUGAGGUCCCAGGUUCAAGUCCUGGCAGGCCCACCA
rnacentral:tRNA from 1 species